ensembl:lncRNA
GAUCUCCAGUGGUCCUUUCCAACCCUUACAAUUCUGCAAUUCUGCGUUCAGAGACAGGAAGAAGACGACAAUGACCACAUCCUGAAGUUGAGUUUUCUUGGCUUCACACGUUUCAAUGCUCAGCCCCAAAACAUGGAGGGAGCUCAGGAUGCCACAACACCCUCCUCUGAGCAUGGGAGCAGGCUCUGCAAUUUGGUGGUCUGGAGCUCAGCUCUUGGAGUCCGGCAGGGUCAACCAGCACCAUUGCUGGUCAUCGGCUUAGAAUCAUAGAAUCAUUGAGGCCACAACACCAAGAAACCUCUGAAAGGGCUCCAAUGAAAAACAAAUCCAACUGAAGGAGCCAACAGAUGGAAAGCAUCUUCAUUAGAGACCACAAACUCUGGUAUUCCAGGAGGCCAGGACCUCCCAAACCAACACACAGCUUCAACCCGAGGGUUAGCCAGAAAAAAAAGAUGUUCCAUCAUAGAAGGUUGGAAAAGACUUCUAAAAUCAUCUAGUCCAACCAUCAACCCAUCUUCAGUCCACAUUUGAUCUGUUUCUUACAGCCUUUCCCUUGACAUACAGCCACGCACAGUGUGGGGUAUAUGGCAAGAUGGAGCACUAUAGUUGCUCUUACAUUUCAGGAGCACCCAAAAAGAACAUCUGUGGCUGCUUGGGUUUGCUCAAUGCAACCGACCACCACCAUCACACAAAAGCACAUCCAAAAAACAACGUUUCCCUACUGAGCAAAAUGAAUCCGUGUAGUCAUAAUUAGACAAAUAUUGUUAAAGGAAAAGCUAUACGUGAAUGUAGACUAAACAUAGCCCUUAUGCCAGAUAAAACUGUGUUCAUUACACUGAAAGAGGAACUGUUCAUGCCAUAACAAAUGGUCAAACAUGAUAUUUCAGAACAAAUAUACAUAUGUACUCCAUCUAUAUUUAUAAUGCUGAGAAAGCAUAUAAAUGCCUGAUCCAGCUUCCAACGCAGUCGCAAGAAAGACAAGCACUGACUUUACUGAGUGUUGGAGGAGGACAUGAAAUGGUAACAUGACCUGGAGGACACAGGUAAGGUCAGCUGGAUGCUGGUCUUAAACCAUUAAAAA